rnacentral:tRNA from 1 species
ACCAGGAUGGCUGAAAAAGGCCUUAAAUUGUAAAUUUAAUCAUGAAUUUUAAUUCUCUUGGUA